GGUGGUGCGAUGACCUCCGAACGGUGGCCGGCAAGAAGUGGAUGAGGAGAGCCGUAGACCGGGCUCAGUGGUGUGGAUUAGGAGAGGCCUAUGUCCAGCAGUGGACGACUGUGGGCUGUUGAUGAUGAUGAUGAUGAUGAUGAUGAUGAUGAAAAUGACGUCAAAACUCAAGAUUGACGUUGCGAGAAGGGAGCGGGAUGUUGCUCUCGAUUCCCACAAAAAUAUGUAAGCGCUUUUGCGUUAAAACUUCAACUUUAAUUUCAAUUAAUUCUUCAGGGAUUUAAUUUUGAACUAUUUUGAAGUCGAUGAAAUCUAAAGGAUCAGGCGCCUGAUGAGGUGUGCUCGUGUUGAGCGAUGCGAUUAUGUCGGUAUUCGAAUCCCACGGGUUCUAUACAGCAACUGCUACAAGCAUCUGUGGCUCGGAAACCUGCUCUUCGCCAAGACACUCCAAACGUCAGCUGACCGUUUCGGCCCGCUUCAAUUAUUACGUACAACUUUUCAAGGAAAAGUCUGCCAUUCCAGUGCCCAUAGAAGCUCUGCGAAAUUUCUUCAUUAGGAUAAAUAACAAAAAUAUAUCGACAGAAAAUUAAAAUUAAUUAGUUCGAAUGUAAUUUUGAAACGUCGCUGAAAAAUAGUUUUCAUUUCGACAAAUGAAAUUGUAAACGCGAGUUGGUCCUUUGUACGAGGACCCUCACCCUCGUUAGCUUCGCCACUUCAAAGCCGACAAAGGGCACCCACCUACUAAGGUACCUAGUAAAAGUCGACCUUUAUUUUAUUCUAUCUUUAUUUAGAGAUAGUUUUCAA